AAAGGCUUCCAUGAAAACAGUAGGUGACGAGACCCACCGCAAGCCACCACCUGGCUGAAUCCAUCGAUUCUCUGCUCGCAAAACGCAGGCCAGGGCAACAAUUUGCAAUGAUGAGCUACAUAUACCAGUGGAGGAUCCAGACUGGCCAAGCUUUUGGAUAAAGCAGACAAGUCUAAUUGAUGCGCUACAUAUAACAAUGGAGGAUUUCUGCAAAAUUUGGUAGACCAAAUGGGAUUAUGUGAAAUCCAUUGAAGUCAAAUACAAGUUGAUGCCCUCAACCUGGUUGAAUCGAUCCCUCGUGGAUUGUUGUUCGAAAAAUUGAUGGCUGCCAUUUUCCUAGGUAAAUUAUUUUGAUUGCCGAGCAGAAAGAAUUACUUGUAGUUUUAUAAUUGCUUUGAAACACAAUCAAAUUGUUUUUACAUUAUGAGUCUGAUGUAACUAAUAAGGCGGAUACUCUGAGAAUAAUGCCUCAUGAGUUCAAAUGGUACAAAUUAGAUGUUAGACUCACUAAUUGAUAAGUCCCACAUGCCACCCUUGGUUUUA